UACGUAGGGUGCAAGCGUUGUCCGGAAUUAUUGGGCGUAAAGAGCUCGUAGGCGGUCUGUUGCGUCGGCUGUGAAAACCCGGGGCUCAACCCCGGGCCUGCAGCCGAUACGGGCAGACUAGAGUUCGGCAGGGGAGACUGGAAUUCCUGGUGUAGCGGUGAAAUGCGCAGAUAUCAGGAGGAACACCGGUGGCGAAGGCGGGUCUCUGGGUCGAUACUGACGCUGAGGAGCGAAAGCGUGGGGAGCGAACAGG
rnacentral:rRNA from 1 species